CCUACGGGUGGCAGCAGUCGAGAAUCAUGCACAAUGGGGGAAACCCUGAUGGAGCGACGCCGCGUGGGGGAAUGAAGGUCUCCGGAUUUUAAACCCCGGUCAUGUGGGAGCAAAUUAAAAAGAUAGUACCACAAGAGGAAGAGACGGCUAACUCUGUGCCAGCAGCCGCGGUAAUACAGAGGGCUCAAGCGUUGUUCGGAAUCACUGGGCGUAAAGCGUGCGUAGGCUGUUUCGUAAGUCGUGUGUGAAAGGCGCGGGCUCAACCCGCGGACGGCACAUGAUACUGCGAGACUAGAGUAAUGGAGGGGGAACCGGAAUUCUCGGUGUAGCAGUGAAAUGCGUAGAUAUCGAGAGGAACACUCGUGGCGAAGGCGGGUUCCUGGACAUUAACUGACGCUGAGGCACGAAGGCCAGGGGAGCGAAAGGGAUUAGAUACCCCAGUAGUC
rnacentral:rRNA from 1 species